UACAGAGGUCCCAAGCGUUGUUCGGAUUUACUGGGCGUAAAGGGUGCGUAGGAGGUUGGCAAAGUCGGGUGUGAAAUCUCACCGCUUAACGGUGAAAUUGCGCUCGAUACUGGUUGACUAGAGUAUCGGAGGGGAAAGCGGAAUUCCUGGUGUAGCGGUGAAAUGCGUAGAUAUCAGGAGGAACACCAACGGCGAAGGCAGCUUUCUGGACGAUAACUGACUCUGAGGCACGAAGGCCAGGGGAGCGAACGGG
rnacentral:rRNA from 1 species